rnacentral:rRNA from 1 species
CCCUUAGAUGUUCUGGGCUGCACGCGCGCUACACUGAUGCGCUCAACGAGUUUACGACCUUGCCCGGAAGGGUUGGGUAAUCUUUUUAAAACGCAUCGUGAUGGGGAUAGAUUAUUGCAAUUAUUAAUCUUUAACGAGGAAUUCCUAGUAAGCGCGAGUCAUCAGCUCGUGCUGAUUACGUCCCAGCCCUUUGUACACACCGCCCGUCGCACCUACCGAUUGGAUGGUCCGGUGAAGCCUCGGGAUUGUGGUUCUUGCCGCUUUAUUGUGGCGUGACCGCGAGAACUUGUCUAAACCUUAUCAUCUAGAGGAAGGUGAAGUCGUAACA